GUGCUUGCUUUGGCAGUAUGUAUAUUAAAUAAAGUUGGAAAUGAUACAGAAGUUACUAUGGCCCUUGCUCAAGGAUGACACAUAAAUUCAUGAAUAUUCCUUUUUUUUU
ensembl:snRNA U6 U6 spliceosomal RNA